rnacentral:rRNA from 1 species
CCGCAUUCGCCCUUCGGGGUGCACCAGGCGCGAAAACUUUACAAUGCUGGCAACAGCGAUAAGGGGACCUCGAGUGCCAGGUUACAAAUCUGGCUGUCGUGAUGCCUAAAAAGCAUUGCAUAGCAAGGGCCGGGCAAGACCGGUGCCAGCCGCCGCGGUAACACCGGCGGCUCGAGUGGUAACCGUUAUUAUUGGGUCUAAAGGGUCUGUAGCCGGCCGGAUAAGUCUCUUGGGAAAUCUGGCAGCUUAACUGUCAGGCUUUCAGGAGAUACUGUCUGGCUCGAGGCCGGGAGAGGUGAGAGGUACUUCAGGGGUAGGAGUGAAAUCUUGUAAUCCUUGAAGGACCACCAGUGGCGAAGGCGUCUCACCAGAACGGACCUGACGGCAAGGGACGAAAGCUAGGGGCACGAACCGGAUUAGAUACCCGGGUAGUCCUAGCCGUAAACGAUACUCGCUAGGUGUCGGCCACGGUGCGACCGUUGUCGGUGCCGUAGGGAAGCCGUGAAGCGAGCCACCUGGGAAGUACGGCCGCAAGGCUGAAACUUAAAGGAAUUGGCGGGGGAGCAC